UGCGUAGGUGGUCGUGUUAGUCGUCUGUCAAAACCCCGGGCUCAACCCGGGAUCCGCAGGCGAAACGGCACGACUAGAGAGCGUGAGAGGUGAAUGGAACUCAUGGUGUAGGGGUGAAAUCCGUUGAUAUCAUGGGGAACACCGAAAGCGAAGGCAAUUCACUGGCGCGUUUCUGACACUCAAGCACGAAAGCGUGGGUAGCAACG
rnacentral:rRNA from 1 species